CUAACAACACAUGAAAGAGAAAACAUUUUUUCCCGAAUAAAAAAAAUAUAUAUUUGAAGAACUCUCUCAACCUUGGUUCGUAAGUGUUUCGACUCUUCCAAACUUUUCAGAAACGGAUCCAAUUCAUUAAUAUAAUAUUAGCUUCACACCAGAAGAAACAGUGUGACGAGAGAGAGAGAGAGAUGGAAGAGCUGAAAGGCGAAACAACAAGAUACACUGGUUUUAUAGCAGAAUGACUUUGCAGUGACUCCGUGUGAAAUACCUGUCAUUUAAGGUUUGUGCUUUAGGAGGUCUGAGGAGAUUGCAAGUGUAGCAGACUUCUGUGACAGGUUAAGCUUUAGGAGGUCUGAGGAGAUUGCAAGUGUAGCACACUUCUGCGACAGGUAGUACAUCUCUUUGAAUUAGUUGAGUCUCACGUAGAUAUAUAUAUAUAUAUUUGUAGGUAUGUGAGACUUCUGUAGUUUAUAUGUCUGAGAAACUUUUUAUUUAUGGUCACCCACUAACCUUUCGUGAUCAUAUUCAUGUAAUUUUAUAAUUUAAUUUUGGUUGUUGUAUGAAUGUCCUACAUUUUGCAUUCUACAUCAUGUCUUUACCGUUCUGAA